CGGUCAGACCUAACACGUCAGGGAAUUGACCUAACCCUGAGAAAAAGCACCGGCUAACUCUGUGCCAGCAGCCGCGGUAAUACAGAGGGUGCAAGCGUUAAUCGGAAUUACUGGGCGUAAAGCGUGCGUAGUCGGUUGUCUAAGUCGGGUGUGAAAUCCCAGGGCUCAACCUUGGAAUUGCAUUCGAUACUGGAUAGCUUGAGUUCGGCAGAGGGAAGUGGAAUUUCCGGUGUAGCGGUGAAAUGCGUAGAUAUCGGAAGGAACAUCAGUGGCGAAAGCGACUUCCUGGACCAGAACUGACGAUCAGGCACGAAAGCGUGGGGAGCAAACAGGAUUAGAUACCCUGGUAGUCCACGCCAUAAACGAUGACAACUAGACGUUGGGGGGUAAGCCUCUCAGUGUCGCAGCUAACGCGUUAAGUUGUCCGCCUGGGGAGUACGGCCGCAAGGUUGAAACUCAAA
rnacentral:rRNA from 1 species